GACGAACGCUGGCGGCGUGCUUAACACAUGCAAGUCGAACGGAAAGGCUCCAGCUUGCUGGAGUACUCGAGUGGCGAACGGGUGAGUAACACGUGGGUAAUCUGCCCUGCACUCUGGGAUAAGCCUGGGAAACUGGGCCUAAUACUGGAUAUGACCUUUCUCCUUAUGGGGUUUGGUGGAAAGUUUUUCGGUGUAGGAUGAGCCCGCGGCCUAUCAGCUUGUUGGUGGGGUGAUGGCCUACCAAGGCGACGACGGGUAGCCGGCCUGAGAGGGUGAUCGGCCACAUUGGGACUGAGAUACGGCCCAGACUCGUACGGGAGGCAGCAGUGGGGAAUAUUGCACAAUGGGCGGAAGCCUGAUGCAGCGACGCCGCGUGAGGGAUGACGGCCUUCGGGUUGUAAACCUCUUUCGGCAGGGACGAAGCGUAAGUGACGGUACCUGCAGAAGAAGCACCGGCUAACUAUGUG
rnacentral:rRNA from 1 species